rnacentral:rRNA from 1 species
AUCUACCGUGCAAGGUAGCAUAAUCACUUGUCCCUUAAUUAGGGACUAGUAUGAACGACUAAAUGAGGGCCUAACUGUCUCCCAUGACCAAUCAAUGAAACUGAUCUCCCAGUACAAAAGCUGAGAUAUACCCAUAAGACGAGAAGACCCUGUGGAGCUUUCAACCUACUUGCUAAAUCAAAACCCAACAGCCAACUUGACUUCCAAACACCCCUACCAUAGCAAUAAGUUUAAGUUGGGGCAACUUUGAAAAAAAAACAAACUUUCAAGCUAAAAGGAUUACCACCCAAAGCAUAGACCCACAAGCCUACGCACUAACUACUAGACCCAGUAAUACUGAUCAACGAACCAAGUUACCCCAGGGAUAACAGCGCAAUCCCCUUUUAGAGUCCCUAUCGCCAUGGGGGUUUACGACCUCGAUGUUGGAUCAGGACACCCAAGUGGUGCAGCCGCUACUAAUGGUUCGUUUGUUCAACGAUUAACAGUCCUACGUGAUCU